CUUUGGUUAUUCAAAUUUAUUCUUUUCUCGGGGUUUCAUGUGUUGUAAUUCUGAGGAAGGAGUAACAAGCAGAAAAUGCCUGUUUUGGUUUCCUUGAGUCAGCAUGUGCCAUAGUAAUUAUUAUAGAUGAAGCGUUUCAUGCCUCAUUUCAAAGUGUGUAACAGUUGAUACAGCACUCCAGUCUCCGCAUGACUACACCUCUAUUACUUUUGCAUGAAAAUUUUCAAUUAUUAGCCAUCUUUC
rnacentral:misc_RNA from 1 species